rnacentral:miRNA from 1 species
GGAUGGAGGAGGGGUCU